UUUUUUUUUUUUUUUUUUUUUUUGGUUGUUCGGGUGGGUUUUCGAUUAAUCAGUUUCAAAUUAAGUCCAACCCAACCCAUAAAAUAUCAAUAUCUUAACCGUGUACAAAAUUGCCGCUUUAUUUAGCAACCACAAAUCAAAUGGCUCACCUGAUCUUAACAGUAAACACCCCCCUUCAACAUCAUCAUUCUUCUUGUUCAAUUCACAAUUUUGUUUCAAUUUCUUCUUCACCCAUCACACACCCUUCUAUUUACUCACCACCACCACCACCCACAAGAUCAUUGUUAUCCAGCAACAACUAUGGAACCGAGAACAAGAAGAAGACGAGGUUAUGGCGUUCUGGGGUUUCUUUCUUCCAGUUGUUUUCUACAAAAAGUGGGAGCAUUAAGCAAGAGCUGCUUGAGGUCAUAGCACCACUCGAUCGAGGCACCGAUGCUACUGCGGAACAGCAGCAGCGUGUUGAUCAGAUCGCACGUAAACUUGAAGCAGUGAAUAAGAUAAAGGAGCCGCUUAAAUCUGACUUGUUGAAUGGAAAAUGGGAGCUUCUCUACACAACAUCUCAAUCGAUCUUGCAGACGAAGAGACCUAAAAUUUUACGAGCAAAUGGAAAGAUUUACCAGGCAAUCAAUGUGGACACUCUUAGAGCUCAAAAUAUGGAAACUUGGCCAUUUUUUAACCAGGCUACUGCUAAUCUAGUUCCCCUUAAUAAUAAGCGGGUGGCUGUCAAGUUUGAUGCUUUUAAAGUGUUCGGUCUGAUACCUAUAAAAGCUCGUGGAAGUGGGCGUGGUCAACUGGAAAUAACAUACUUGGAUGAAGAGUUAAGGUACACAACACUAUAUGUUCGUUGACCAGAUGAUUGACUAUUUACACCAUUGUACUUUGACUUUUCUUUGCAUCUCCUCGCUUGGGGAGAUUCGCAAGUCCAGUAGUUUUUUGCAGGAAAAGGGAUCACAAUAUUUUAAAAGUCAACCACUCUAAUACAGUAUAUUACAUAUUUACAUGAUCUCAAGAGGCAAUGAAGGAAAUUUGUUCAUAUUAAGAAUGGUGGAUCCAACUUAUAGAGUCCCUCUAUAGUUUUUCUUGUAUAAUUGUUUUGUUGGUCCAGGACAAGAUUUAGUAUAAUUUCAUCAUUAUGUAGGUGGUCAUAUAUGUAAUUUGACUUUGACCAUGGAAGGUCAAAAUGUGCGGUCAAGCUACUAUUUGGAGGUCUUAUACAAAAUACGAUUGCAAUAGGAA